GACGAACGCUGGCGGCGUGCUUAACACAUGCAAGUCGAACGGAAAGGCCCUGCUUUUGUGGGGUGCUCGAGUGGCGAACGGGUGAGUAACACGUGAGUAACCUGCCCUUGACUUUGGGAUAACUUCAGGAAACUGGGGCUAAUACCGGAUAGGAGCUCCUGCUGCAUGGUGGGGGUUGGAAAGUUUCGGCGGUUGGGGAUGGACUCGCGGCUUAUCAGCUUGUUGGUGGGGUAGUGGCUUACCAAGGCUUUGACGGGUAGCCGGCCUGAGAGGGUGACCGGCCACGUUGGGACUGAGAUACGGCCCAGACUCCUACGGGAGGCAGCAGUGGGGAAUAUUGCACAAUGGGCGGAAGCCUGAUGCAGCAACGCCGCGUGCGGGAUGACGGCCUUCGGGUUGUAACCGCUUUCGCCUGUGACGAAGCGUGAGUGACGGUAAUGGGUAAAGAAGCACCGGCUAACUACGUGCCAGCAGCCGCGGUGAUACGUAGGGUGCGAGCGUUGUCCGGAUUUAUUGGGCGUAAAGGGCUCGUAGGUGGUUGAUCGCGUCGGAAGUGUAAUCUUGGGGCUUAACCCUGAGCGUGCUUUCGAUACGGGUUGACUUGAGGAAGGUAGGGGAGAAUGGAAUUCCUGGUGGAGCGGUGGAAUGCGCAGAUAUCAGGAGGAACACCAGUGGCGAAGGCGGUUCUCUGGGCCUUUCCUGACGCUGAGGAGCGAAAGCGUGGGGAGCGAACAGGCUUAGAUACCCUGGUAGUCCACGCUGUAAACGGUGGGUACUAGGUGUGGGGCCCAUUCCACGGGUUCCGUGCCGUAGCUAACGCUUUAAGUACCCCGCCUGGGGAGUACGGCCGCAAGGCUAAGACUCAAAGGAAUUGACGGGGCCCCGCACAAGCGGCGGAGCAUGCGGAUUAAUUCGAUGCAACGCGUAGAACCUUACCUGGGUUUGACAUGGAUCGGGAGUGCUCAGAGAUGGGUGUGCCUCUUUUGGGGUCGGUUCACAGGUGGUGCAUGCCUGUCGUCAGCUCGUGUCGUGAGAUGUUGGGUUAAGUCCCGCAACGAGCGCAACCCUUGUUCACUGUUGCCAGCACGUUAUGGUGGGGACUCAGUGGAGACCGCCGGGGUCAACUCGGAGGAAGGUGGGGAUGACGUCAAGCCCUCAUGCCCCUUAUGUCCAGGGCUUCACGCAUGCUACAAUGGCUGGUACAGAGAGUGGCGAGCCUGUGAGGGUGAGCGAAUCUCGGAAAGCCGGUCUCAGUUCGGAUUGGGGUCUGCAACUCGACCUCAUGAAGUCGGAGUCGCUAGUAAUCGCAGAUCAGCAACGCUGCGGUGAAUACGUUCCCGGG
rnacentral:rRNA from 1 species